rnacentral:rRNA from 1 species
ACUUGAAUAUUAGUAGCUAUGAGCUUUAAAUUCAAAGAAUUUGGCGGUAUUUUAGUCUUGUUAGAGGAACCUGUUCUGUGAAUGAUACUACACGAAGAAUCUUACUUACUUUUGUUUUUCAGUUUGUAUACCGUCAUUAUUAGAUAACCUUUAUUGAGAAAGUUAUUGAAGUAUAAAAAGUUAAAUAUAUUAGAUCAAGGUGCAGCUAAUAGGUAAGGAGAAAUGGGUUACAAUGGAAUUAAUUCAAACGUAUUGAUUAUUGAAUAAUAAUUAUGAAGGAGGAUUUAAUUGUAAUGAAAGUUUAAUAAGCUAACAUGAUAUGAGAACUAAAAUAUGUACACAUACGCCCGUCGC